AACGAACGCUGGCGGCGUGCCUAAUACAUGCAAGUCGAGCGAGAAAGUCUUCGGAUGAGUAAAGCGGCGCACGGGUGUGUAACGCGUAGGUAACCUGCCUUAAAGUGGGGAAUAACACCGGGAAACCGGUGCUAAUACCGCAUAUGAAGGUGACUUCAAAGAGGGGUAGCAAUACCUCUUGCUUUAAGAUGGGCCUGCGUGACAUUAGGUAGUUGGUGGGAUAAAAGCCUACCAAGCCGACGAUCUGUAGCUGGUCUGAGAGGACGAUCAGCCACACUGGGACUGAGACACGGCCCAGACUCCUACGGGAGGCAGCAGUGGGGAAUUUUGGACAAUGGGCGCAAGCCUGAUCCAGCAAUGCCGCGUGCAGGAUGAAGGCCUUCGGGUUGUAAACUGCUUUUGUACGGAACGAAAAGCCCCGGGUUAAUACCCUGGGGUCAUGACGGUACCGUAAGAAUAAGCACCGGCUAACUACGUGCCAGCAGCCGCCGUAAAAC
rnacentral:rRNA from 1 species